CCGUUGCCGGCGACCGGCGCACGGGUGAGUAACACGUAUGCAACCUGCCCGUGGCAGGGGGAUAAGCGGGGGAAACCCCGUCUAAUACCGCGUAACGCGGCCUUGGGGCAUCCCAAGGCCGCCAAAGGGAGCAAUCCCCGGCCACGGAUGGGCAUGCGGCGCAUUAGCUAGUCGGCGGGGUAACGGCCCACCGAGGCGACGAUGCGUAGGGGUUCUGAGAGGAAGGCCCCCCACACUGGUACUGAGACACGGACCAGACUCCUACGGAAGGCAGCAG
rnacentral:rRNA from 1 species